rnacentral:rRNA from 1 species
GAUGAACGCUGGCGGCGUGCCUAAUACAUGCAAGUCGAGCGAACAGACGAGGAGCUUGCUCCUUUGACGUUAGCGGCGGACGGGUGAGUAACACGUGGGUAACCUACCUAUAAGACUGGGAUAACUUCGGGAAACCGGAGCUAAUACCGGAUAAUAUUUCGAACCGCAUGGUUCGAUAGUGAAAGAUGGCUCUGCUAUCACUUAUAGAUGGACCUGCGCCGUAUUAGCUAGUUGGUAAGGUAACGGCUUACCAAGGCAACGAUACGUAGCCGACCUGAGAGGGCGAUCGGCCACACUGGAACUGAGACACGGUCCAGACUCCUACGGGAGGCAGCAGUAGGGAAUCUUCCGCAAUGGGCGAAAGCCUGACGGAGCAACGCCGCGUGAGUGAUGAAGGUCUUCGGAUCGUAAAACUCUGUUAUUAGGGAAGAACAAACGUGUAAGUAACUGUGCACGUCUUGACGGUACCUAAUCAGAAAGCCACGGCUAACUACGUG